rnacentral:rRNA from 1 species
CCUAACCCUUCAGAGGGGGACAACAGUUGGAAACGACUGCUAAUACCGCAUACGAUCCAAUCUCGGCAUCGAGACUGGAUGAAAGGUGGCCUCUAUUUAUAAGCUAUCACUGAAGGAGGGGAUUGCGUCUGAUUAGCUAGUUGGAGGGGUAACGGCCCACCAAGGCGAUGAUCAGUAGCCGGUCUGAGAGGAUGAACGGCCACAUUGGGACUGAGACACGGCCCAG